UACGUAGGGGGCAAGCGUUGUCCGGAAUUAUUGGGCGUAAAGAGCGUGUAGGCGGCCUGAAAGGUCAGCUGUGAAAACUCGAGGCUCAACCUCGAGACGUCGGUUGAAACCAUCUGGCUAGAGUCCGGAAGAGGAGAGUGGAAUUCCCGGUGUAGCGGUGAAAUGCGCAGAUAUCGGGAAGAACACCCGUGGCGAAGGCGGCUCUCUGGGACGGUACUGACGCUGAGACGCGAAAGCGUGGGGAGCGAACAGG
rnacentral:rRNA from 1 species